rnacentral:rRNA from 1 species
GAUGAACGCUGGCGGCGUGCCUAAUACAUGCAAGUCGAGCGAACGGACGAGAAGCUUGCUUCUCUGAUGUUAGCGGCGGACGGGUGAGUAACACGUGGAUAACCUACCUAUAAGACUGGGAUAACUUCGGGAAACCGGAGCUAAUACCGGAUAAUAUUUUGAACCGCAUGGUUCAACAGUGAAAGACGGUCUUGCUGUCACUUAUAGAUGGAUCCGCGCUGCAUUAGCUAGUUGGUAAGGUAACGGCUUACCAAGGCAACGAUGCAUAGCCGACCUGAGAGGGUGAUCGGCCACACUGGAACUGAGACACGGUCCAGACUCCUACGGGAGGCAGCAGUAGGGAAUCUUCCGCAAUGGGCGAAAGCCUGACGGAGCAACGCCGCGUGAGUGAUGAAGGUCGUCGGAUCGUAAAACUCUGUUAUUAGGGAAGAACAUAUGUGUAAGUAACUGUGCACAUCUUGACGGUACCUAAUCAGAAAGCCACGGCUAACUACGUG